rnacentral:lncRNA from 1 species
UAGCCAGCAAGAAAAUGGAGAAUGACGUCCUCCAACCACAAGGAACUAAUUUCUGUCAACAGCCACAUAAACUUGGAAGGGCAUCCCAAGCUCUAGAAAGGUGACGGAUUCUUCGCUGUGCAGCUGGAAUAUCACAGUAUAUAAUAUGGACCUGAUAAAAAAUGAAGAUUAGAUAAUUUUAUUGACAGAAACUUUAAACUCUGCACUUGCCACUAUUUAACUGUUCUAUUCCACCAUUAGAGGUUUUUGGACAAAGGUUAAUUGCUCAAUAGGCUGGGAAGUUAUGAGAAGGAUCUGAGAAUCAGGGGCCAUUGGAUUAGAUGCCAUUUAAAGUUCACUGUGGCUGGAGAUUCUAUGAUUCUGGAGAUUCUGAUUUCAGAAUGCAUUUUUAUUCUUCCCCAACUCAAUAUGCAUAUAAAACUGACUAAUUAUGUUUUAUAUUUGCAUAGCACUUAAACACUGGCUUAUACAUUGUUAAAUAAAUCCAAACAGGUGAGUUAAGACUGUUUGUUUAAUGCUCCACCGUGGUUUACACACCUCUUGGUGCUAUAGAAACAACAAGCUUUUUGUACUCAUCCCAUGUAACUUCAGGGAACUGCUGUGUUUUUUCUGAUUCAAUUUUGCAUUGUUAUAAUACAAUUUUUAUUUCCAUGACUUUUUGUAGCAAAAUAUUUACAUUUUGUAAACAGUGGAUGUCUUUUCUAAAAUUUCAUUUUUCUUUCUUGUAAGCUGUAAAAAGUUUGUCUUGUGUGCUUUAACUUCCUUGCAUUUUCCCUUAUUACAGAGUCAAUAAUUUUUGCAAAUACAUAUAGACAUAUUGUUUUAAUAAAUAAUUCAAUAAUUUUAUUUUAAGAUAUGCCUAUUAUUGACAUUUUCUAAAUAAGUGCCAUUUUGUCUAUGGCUGUCUUCCAGGCCCCAACCAUUUAAAUUAUUCAGGCUCCAGAAUUCACUACUCCUAUACUUAGGUAAUUAGAGUUAUAAACUUGAGAAUAAACUUGACCAUUAACUUGGCAUUAACUCGACCAACUUCAAAAGUAUUGACAGAAAAAUAAAGAAAAGAGAGGGCUAAAAAUGCAUAAAAAUUGAAAUAGAAUCAUGACAUUUAACUGUUUAUUAAGUAUUUAUUGUUCAUGGUAACAAUAGGAUAUUCUAUAAAUACUUUAUAUGUAAAGUUGAUAAUAGCCAUCAUAAUUACAGCAUCUGUUUUUAACAGGCUUUCAAUAUUUAAGAUACCAAUCCAUCAACACUCUCUUGUCUUUAGUAUCUGAAAGAUAAUAGCUCCUUUAAUUAAAGGUCAAUGAGGAACAUGCAAUGCAACCAACACAAAAAUCAAACCUAUGAUUAUCUCAAUGUUUUAAUUAACUGCACCAUAAGCAUAAAUUACAGUCUUGAUGAUGGUGAAGAACACAGAAAAAAGUCUGUAUUACAAUUAUUUUGCCUUUGACCUUGCUAUGGAUCAUUCCUUCCAAUAAAUACAUUAUUGUAUUAACAAUGCUUUCCUCCU